rnacentral:rRNA from 1 species
ACCCGCACAAGCAGCGGAGCAUGUGGUUUAAUUCGAAGCAACGCGAAGAACCUUACCAGAUCUUGACAUCCAAUUGACCAUCUUUUAAUCGAGAUUUUGCCUUCGGGUACAAUUGAGACAGGUGGUGCAUGGUUGUCGUCAGCUCGUGUCGUGAGAUGUUGGGUUAAGUCCCGCAACGAGCGCAACCCUUGUGUUUAGUUGCAAACAGGUCAAGCUGUGCACUCUAGACAGACUGCCGUGGACAACACGGAGGAAGGUGGGGAUGACGUCAAAUCAUCAUGCCCCUUAUGAUCUGGGCUACACACGUGCUACAAUGGCCGGUACAACGGGCAGCGAAGGAGCGAUCCGGAGCGAAUCCUAAAAAGCCGGUCCCAGUUCGGAUUGCAGGCUGAAACUCGCCUACAUGAAGUUGGAGUUGCUAGUAACUUCGCCGAAUCCAGAAUGUACGUACGGUAGUAAUGCGUUCCCGGGUCGUU